GACGAAGGGGGCUAGCGUUGUUCGGAAUUACUGGGCGUAAAGGGCGCGUAGGCGGUUCUUUAAGUCAGGCGUGAAAGCCCUGGGCUCAACCUGGGAGUGGCGCCUGAUACUGAGGAGCUAGAGAGUGGGAGAGGUUGGUGGAAUUCCCAGUGUAGAGGUGAAAUUCGUAGAUAUUGGGAAGAACACCGGUGGCGAAGGCGGCCAACUGGACCAUUUCUGACGCUGAGGUGCGAAAGCGUGGGGAGCAAACAGG
rnacentral:rRNA from 1 species